GUUUCUUACUUCAGAAUAAACGCACAAGUUAUUUGCAAUAACAGCAUGUAAAUCCAUGAUGAUGCCUUUUAUGUACUCAAUACAAAAGAAAUAAAUAGGAAGUGGGUUUUGAGGAAGUGCCUUGCAAAUCCUUCCGAUGUUGUCAGAUCACUACAUUUAAAAAAUCCUGAGAUCUCUCAUAAGCGGUCUAGCUACAGACAUGGAGUUGUCGUUUUGGUUGCCCCUUCUGCUUAUCUUCUUGUCAAGAGCAGGUAAAUAAAAGUCUACAUUAAAUCUGUUUUAAAGGAAGGAAACCUUUAUUUCAUCCAUUCCUUGUUCCAUAGAUUUUAACACAUCUAUUUGAUACCAGUGCUACUAUUGACUUCAAACAAGUCUAAUCUGGAUUAACUGCCUUUUCGUCUGUUAAUUCUAGAGAUUAAUGAAAGCUGCACAUUACAACAGACCAAAGUGAUCUGGCGCAAAGCGGGAGGAUCAUUAAAUCUCUCUUGUACCAUGACCCCAGAAUGCGGAGCCGGCAAUAUUGAGUACAAGUGGUUUGUUUUCAAAGAAGACAGGCAUUUUGCCCUGAAUUCCAACGACAAAUACACCUUGAGUAGAACAUCGGUAACCAUCAGGUCACUGGAGGUCGAUGACAGUGGGAUCUACUACUGUGGAACAGGACAAACUAAAUGCUGCAAACCGCUUGUAGGGCUCGGUACGACUCUUGUAGUGACAGGUAAAGCUAGAGUUCUGCUGUUGCUGGCAUUAGUCCUUCUGGCCAUCUUUAACUUUGCCAUAGUAACAUUCAUCAUUCUAAAGAAGUGUUGCUGGAAGAAAACAGCUGCUGUGAAGACAUCUUUACACGACAAGGACAGCAUAAGGAAAAAAUCUCACUUUAGUAACGUGGUCCAAGAGCUGCACAGCAGAGAGAACCUGAGAAAGAGUAAAAACACAGCCAGACAAAAACCUACUGAGGUAAGUUGCAACAAGAAUUUACAAAACAAAAGGUUGCAUCAAUUGUCACUGUUGUGCUUUCCCACCAUGCCUUGA
ensembl:lncRNA